CUCGAAAUUUCCAUCAACAAAACCCUUUAACAUCUGUUUGUCUUUGUUUGGUAUGGAAAACGUUCUGCUCAUUCCCAUCGUUGAUUCUGGUCAGCGCAAUGACUGAUCAUUGAUCAAUCAUCAAUCAACAUCAUCAGUUGCUUCGUAGGCUGUGAGUUGCUUAUCCACAAUUCACCGCUAAUAUGAACAUGGCCAGCUUUGCCACGAGCCAAGGCGCUGUGUAUUUAUACCGCGCCCUGGUUUUGCCAAAUUACGCGUAAAGCCUAGUUUCCAUUUGGUCGUUAGUUGUCGCUGGCACGACAAACGGUGGAUGUGAAAUAGUCUAAUAUAAUAAUAGUUGUUUUGUGGGUUAUAUGCAAAUCAGUCUUAUAAUGAUUGCAGAGUUUUAUAAAGUUUUG